rnacentral:lncRNA from 1 species
AGCUACAUCCGUCACCUGACACGGCCCUACCAGGAACAGCCGCGCUCCCGCGGAUUCUGGUGCUGCUCGCGUCCCCGCUCCCCUAUUCCCCUUAUUUUAUUCCUGGCUCCCCUCGUCGAAAGUCUUCCAUUCUUCAAACUAGAUUAUUUAAAAAUGAAAAAGGAAGAAAGGAAAGCGAGGUCAUCUCAUUGCUCUAUCCGCCAAUCAGGAGGCUGAAUGUCAGUUUUGAACUAAAAGCCGCUCCGCUCCUCUUCUAGAUUUGGAAAACAAGCGAAAUUAAACUAAACCGCUGCACGCCUCUGACGCGACAUCUGGACACGGCGCGGCGCUGGCGCUGCCGGAGCUGUCGACCCGGCCUGGCGCCGGACUAGUGUCCCUUUUGAUGAGAAGAAUAAGCCUCAUUCUGAUUCAACAGCAGAGAUCAAAGAAAAGACUUCUGUUUUCUGGCCACCAGAUAUAUGUUAUCUGUGCUUAAAGAAUUGAAAAACACACAUCAAAGGAGAAUUUUCUUGGAAAGAGAGGGUUCAAGCAUCACUGUUAGGUGUGCUGGAAUCCUUUCCCGAGUCAGUACUGCUUUCUAGAAGAAAACCGGGGAGAUCUAUUUGGAAUGUAUCUAACUCCAAAGAAACCAUCAGAGGUAACAGGUUAGGAAAUUGAAAUACAGAAAGAUGAAAAGUGAUUUGCCCAAGCAUAUAGAUCAAAGCUGUGGCAGAACCAGGACUGGAACCUAUAUCUCUCUACUAAUGGUUUUUUUAAAAAAAUAACCUUGUUUCAAAAAUAUUAAAAAGUCACAAGAAAGGUAAACAUGUGGAUAAACAAAAUGAAGAAAAUAAAAAUUAUCCAGUAAUAACAUAUUGGCAUAUGUCUUUCUGGUAUAUUUUCCUGUGUUGUCAUCAUUAUCAUCUCCAUCAUCAUUAUAUCCAUCAUUAUCAUCAUCAUCAUCAUCAUCAUCAUCAUUAUCAUCACCAUAGUGAACAUGUAAUGCUUACCUAGUGCCAGAUGCUGUCUAGGCAUUUUACAUGUGUUACUGGUAACUCAUGUAAUCCUCAUAACAACCUUAUAAGGUGGUUGCUAUUAUCCCCAUGUUACAUAUGAAGAGACAGAAGCAUAAAGAAGUUGCACCGCUGGUAAUUGGCUGGGAUUUGAACUUAAGCAGUCUAACCUUAGAGUAAUGAUUUUAACAACUAUGCUAUAUACAUACAAAUUUACAAAAUAAAACUGGGCUCAGACAAUAAAAAAAAAAAAAAAAAAAAAAAAA